rnacentral:rRNA from 1 species
GACGAACGCUGGCGGCGUGCUUAACACAUGCAAGUCGAACGAUGAAGCCGGAGCUUGCUCUGGUGAAUUAGUGGCGAACGGGUGAGUAACACGUGAGUAACCUGCCCUUGACUCUGGGAUAACUGCGGGAAACUGUAGCUAAUACCGGAUACGACCCUCGGAGGCAUCUCCUGGGGGUGGAAAGAAUUUCGGUCAAGGAUGGACUCGCGGCCUAUCAGCUAGUUGGUGAGGUAAAGGCUCACCAAGGCGACGACGGGUAGCCGGCCUGAGAGGGUGACCGGCCACACGGGGACUGAGACACGGCCCAGACUCCUACGGGAGGCAGCAGUGGGGAAGAUUGCACAAUGGGCGCAAGCCUGAUGCAGCGACGCCGCGUGAGGGAUGACGGCCUUCGGGUUGUAAACCUCUUUCAGCGUCGACGAAGCGAAAGUGACGGUAGGUGCAGAAGAAGGACCGGCCAACUACGUGCCAGCCGCCGCCGUAA